UUUGCCUACGGGGGGCAGCAGUGAGGAAUAUUGGGCAAUGGAGGAAACUCUGACCCAGCCAUGCCGCGUGAGUGAAGAAGGUUUUCGAAUUGUAAAGCUCUUUCGGAUGUGAAGAUGAUGACGGUAACAUCUAAAGAAGCCCCGGCAAACUUCGUGCCAGCAGCCGCGGUAAUACGAAGGGGGCAAGCGUUGUUCGGAAUUACUGGGCGUAAAGGGUGUGUAGGCGGGAAAGGAAGAUAGUGGUGAAAUGCCUGAGCUCAACUUGGGAACUGCCAUUAUAACUAUUUUUCUAGGGUG
rnacentral:rRNA from 1 species